rnacentral:lncRNA from 1 species
CAUUGCUCACGGUUUACCAAAAUUUGGUUCAACCUGUGGCCUUCUCCUUCCCUUCUCAGCCUUCUCUUGGGAUUUGAGAGCUGUACAGUGAAUGUUAAUGUCAACCCUGCCUCUGACUGACACUCAAUUCUUUUUGUUUUUUCAUUCUCCGGCACCUGUGCUUGGCUGUCAGACAGUUCAGAGCGUGACUCGGCUGCCAUCCCUGCAGAGGAACAACAGGCUCUGUGACAAAGGUUCCCACGACGCUGCCCGGGGGACCCCAAAUGUGGAGGCAGGGAAGGGAUGGAAGAAAGCUAUGAGACAUUUGAAGAGGAGUUAGGGCCACCAAGAGCAGAUCCUCCUCCACAGAAGCCUGUUCGACAGAUCCGCAGGCCAGAAAUGUACGCCACGAGGAAAGUCAGAGAGGAAAUGCCUCCAGUUUCACAGCAACCAAGAGGAGAACUCCGGACUUCACCCCGGGAACCCAGCUUCCCCAGAACAACGUCCUUGCGCAAAGCAAUGUCCAUCCAAAACCUGAGCCAGAUUGAAACGCCGUGGGAGAAUGUCACCCUGAACCGCUGUCUGUUUGUGGCCAUUACCAUCCUGGUGCUCACCUCAGGCUUUCAGAGGCUUCAUGAAACUCUACGUGGUCAGGGGCCAGCGGAGGAGGAGGAACUUGGGCUGGCAGUGAGACGGUCGGGCUCAUUGCGACACAGAAGACAACCACCAGAGCCCGAGACAACUCUAUGGGAAGUCAUGUUCUGGUGGCUGCCAGACCUUGAUGAUGAAGAGGAUGAGGAGGAAGAGGAUGAUGAAGAGGGUAAAAGAAGAAAGUCAAAGAGCCGAGCAACGGCACCGGCAACAAGAGGUCUCAGAAACAAGCCACUGCCAGUCAAAAAACUCACGAAGCCAAGAGAAGGGAAAUUAAAAGACAGGAGAGCCAAAAAAGACAGGGAUGAAGAAAUCCAAGACAAGAAAGAGAGAGAUAAAACAGAAGAACCCAAAGAAGCAGCGGGUGAUGAAGAUGAGGAUGAAGUAAAGGAGGAGGCAGUGCCCAAGAAGAAGAAAAAGUUGGAGGAACAGAAAGAGAAGAAAAAGAUUCAAAAGGGAUGA